rnacentral:lncRNA from 1 species
UUUUUUUAUAUAAAGGUAUGAUUAUUAAUUGUGCGUCUUCUACCAUUUGUCUUUUCCAGACCGGGUCAAAAUAGGAGACUGACCAUCGCAGGCCCAGGUGGAGGUAGGGGGCGCGGAAUCAAUUUGCUGAGGUAAGAAUCUGUUCUUGUGUUAGAAAAUGCUUGUAAUAAACGCAUGUUGGAUUUGUUCUUAAUGUAUGUCAAACCCUAUCAGGCGUGGACUGUCAGAUAGUGGUGGAGGACCCCCAGCCAAACAGAGAGACAUCGAAGGGGCACUCUUGAGGCUGGCAGGGGACCAGCGAGCCAGGAGAGAUUCACGCCAUGACAGCGAUGCUGAGGAUGAUGACGAUGUCAAAAAACCAGCGUUGCAGUCAUCUGUGGUUGCUACCUCCAAAGAACGUACACGCCGAGAUCUUAUUCAAGAUCAGACAAUGGAUGAGAGAGGAAAGCAGAGGUAAUGCUUUUGUUUUAGGCAAUGUUUGCAAAGCUUUUUUUUAUCAUUUACUUGUUUUUCCACUGCAAAUUUGCUUGAAUGACUAUGUAAAUGUGGAAUUAAAAAAACUAUUGUUUUAUCUCAUUCAGAAACCGGCGCAUGUUUGGCCUGUUGAUGGGAACAUUGCAGAAGUUCAAACAAGAGUCUACAGUGUCCACAGAGCGGGUAGGCUUAAGCUUUGAAUUUCUUUUUUUUUUAAUGCACUGUUCUAUUUCUUGGUUC